UACAGAGGUCCCAAGCGUUGUUUCGGAUUCACUGGGCGUAAAGGGUGCGUAGGUGGUGAGGUAAGUCGGAUGUGAAAGCUCGGAGCUCAACUCCGAAAUGGCAUUGGAAACUACCUUGCUCGAGGGUUGGAGGGGGGACUGGAAUGCUUGGUGUAGCAGUGAAAUGCGUAGAUAUCAAGCGGAACACCAGUGGCGAAGGCGAGUCCCUGGACAACUCCUGACACUGACGGCACGAAAGCUAGGGGAGCAAACGGG
rnacentral:rRNA from 1 species